UUACGGUCAAAUCACGCUGAAAACACCGGUUCUCGUUCGAUCACCGAAGUUAAGCAUCGUAGAGCCAGGUCAGUACUUAGAUGGGGGACCGCUUGGGAACACCUGGUACUGUA